UUUACGCAGGGGCGAGAGGAGUUUCCUUUGUUCUAGACAGAGGCUUGUAAGAGAUCAGAGAGAAUUAACCCUCAGACACACGGCACUUUGGAGGUUAUCGGUGGGCUGGCAGCAUUGGGAUGCAGGUAAUGACCAUUCCCAUGCCUCUGGGGGAAGCAUUCACCAGAAUAUAUCAAGAUGAAAAAUUAAUAUGGAUUUUUACAACUUCUAAAGAGCUAAAUGUCAGUGGAUUUAUAUCCUCUACUCAUGCAAUUGUAGACUCGUAAGCUGAUGGAGGAGUUUGGAGAUCGUAUUUUGAAGGGUUCAUCGUUUAAAUCUUGGGAGCAACAGUUAGUUCAUGUGAGGGCAAGCACAGGAUACGAUGUAACUUGAUCUCUGUGGAAUUUCCUUUUAAAAAUUGGAUUCAUUGUGAAAAUGGCGACAUUUGGACAAUUCUACUGAUCAGGAUUCAGAAUGAAUUUCAGCUUGCCCUUUCUAAAUUUGCUCCAGCAUGAAACCAACUCUAGAGAAGCAAUGAAGUACAGUGCAGAAUCUCACAAUUUAACUCACGUCAGAACAUUGGAAACUCCUCUGCUUAUUUUAACCAUCACUCUCCAGCCUCACCACAGUUGGAGUCUUUUGAACCAUCUCCUGACCAGCACAAGCAAUAAGCCUGUCAGCCUUUGCUUAGUGGUAAAGAUCUGACUUGAGUCAGAAAGUGGAUUCAGGUUCCACUUUAGAAAUCAACCUGACACUUCAGUGCAUGAACUGUGGGAGGAAUGCUGCCUUUCAGGCUCUGACUGCCCGCCCUGUAAGGGACCGGUCUUGACGGGCAUGUCUAGACAGUAAACAGCAGGAGCCUUUAGAUCAUCCGGAGGGUGAAGCACUUCACAGAGAAGAUUCAUCCUGUUUUCAAAACAUACUCACCUCCCAUCGACCAUCAACGGAGAGCAAUCAAGAAAAGGAAUCCUGGUUGUUUUGAUUGAGUCCUCGCUGUAUCCCCAGCAAGUCGAGGAGUUACUCAUGGUGCAAGCAAUCCAUGCACAAAUGUAGGGCAUGGAUCUAAACUAGCAUUAUGUACAAUGCAAGAAGCAGAACAACGUGAAGUCAAAUGGAAGUACAUUCCUGUAGAUGUUGAAAAUAUGAACAGCAAACCAUUGGAUUCCAGUCAAUAUAUUAUCAACGUCAACUUACUGAAGAACAGCCAAAGCAUCUUAAUUCAGCGUCUUGAAGGCUUUAGAUCCAGUAACAGCAAAUUCUGAAUUCUGAUGUUAUGUACAUUUAUGUUGAAUAAUGUGAUUUUAGCCUAUGUGAAAUGUAAUUGCUUGCUUAUAAGUUGGUACUCUGAAAAUACAUUUUGGAUGAUUAACAUGAUUGUUGGUCAUUUGUGAAAAUUCUUAAAAUGCAAACGUAGGAGAGAAAAAUGCCUGGCAUUUUAGCUUUAUCUCCUCCUUGACCCUUAUGCUACUCACCCAUCAUUUAUGGACAUUUUCCAACAUAUGCUUCAUGAGAUUUAUUGGUUUGUUUGAGCUGUGUGACACAGCUUGAUAACCCUCCGGAAUCAAUUCAAAGUUGCUUUCCUAUCAGUUGUGCUUGAAAACAGCCCUAGAGAUUGUGAACCAAAGUUUGCAUAUCCACCUUUACUAGGAGAGAAUAAAAGAGACUUGCGUUUUCAUUUAUUUACAUUUAUCCUACUGCCGUAAUGCAGAAACCCGGCAAUCAAAUGUGCAUGAAGCAAACUUCCACAAACAGCAAUGUGAUCUGACUGAGAAAUAAGUUUUUUCCGUGCCCUUCCCUUACAUUCUUCUCUGAAGUAGUGCCAUAGUAUUUUUUUAGAUCCUCCUGUGUUGGUAGGUAUAGCCUUGGAUUAACAUAUGGACCAAAAGACAGUAUUGCCUGUAGUCCAAUACUCCCUCAGUACUAAUACCAAAGCAAAAUACAAUGAAUGCUGGUAACUUGAUACAAAAACAUGCUGGAAGUACACAGACAGCAUCUGUGGAGAGAAAUAGUGUUGACACUUCAGAGCAUGGCUAUUUCCUUCAUACUGUCAACUUGAUUUUUAUGCUGGAGAACCUUGUAACUCAGAGGCAAGUGUGAUAACAACCAAGCCACAAUUGGUGCAUUGAAUGUUACCAGAAAUAAGAGACUUCAAUUAUGUAGAGACACUAGACAAGGUGGGGGGAUUGUUCUCCUAAGAGCAGUGUAUUUUCAGGGUGAUUUAAUAGAGGUGUUCACGUAGUGAGAUAUAUGUUUCUACUGAUAUGAGAUUUGCUAAUCAGAAGACAAAAUUUUAAAUUAAUUAGCAAAAGAAGUAAAGGAGAGAUUAGGAGUUUUUUUGUGUAACAAGUUGUAAUGCUCUGUAGUGCACUGUCUAGAAGAAUAAUGGAAGCAUAUUCAAUGGUAACUGUCAAAAGGGAUUUGGAUAUACACUUGGAGGGCCAAAAUUUGCAAGACUUUGGGAAGAGUAUCAGAAAGGAAUAACUUACACAGCUCUUUCAAAGAGCCAAAUGAAAGAUGUUUGAUGUAAGUUUCUGUUCAGUUCUCUUUCUCACCAUAUCCUGAGGGACCUCUGGUUGAUAUUUUCCUGCACUUUCUCCCUAUGAUGUAGGGUUCAUCUUACUUCAAAAGCCAUUGCACCACAGAUCAACUGAUUCAGCUAAGUCAAGGAUCAAACCUCGAGAUAUUGCUAUGUGGCUCACUGUCACAAUUUUGAAUAAGCGCAAGGCAGUUUUCUCUGGUGUCUAAAAAAAUGUACGUCCUUCAGCCAACAUCAAACACCACACUGCUAUGCCUUUAUCAUCCAAACUGAACUAAAAGAGGAUCCUGUAAGUGGUGUGAUAUUUGGUAACUGUGUAUAGGAAUCUGUGUAAACAGAUGAUCUGCUAAUUAUCACAUUGCUGUUUGUGAAAGUUAGCUGUCCUUUAAUUGGCUCCAACAUUUCAUAUAUUACAAUGUGACUACACUUCCAAAGUAUGCCAUUGAUUGUAAGGUGUUUUGUAAUAUCCUGAAUGGGGUUUCUCCUAUAGAUCUGACAAUAUUCCAAUUGCCGAGUGCUUUAUGAUCUCUCAGUUUAUUUGGUGAUAUGCUUUUAUGUACAGACCAGUGUCAUUGGACUAAUAAUCUUGAGAAUUUGAGUUAAG